UACAGAGGUCUCAAGCGUUGUUCGGAUUCAUUGGGCGUAAAGGGUGCGUAGGCGGCGCGGUAAGUCGGGUGUGAAAUCUCGGAGCUUAACUCCGAAACUGCAUUCGAUACUGCCGUGCUUGAGGACUGGAGAGGAGACUGGAAUUUACGGGUGUAGCGGUGAAAUGCGUAGAUAUCGUAAGGAAGACCAGUGGCGAAAGGCGGGUCUCUGGACAGUUCCUGACGCUGAGGCACGAAGGUCAGGGGAGCAAACGGG
rnacentral:rRNA from 1 species